AGUUAGUGGCGGACGGGUGAGUAACGCGUGGAAAACCUGCCGUAUACUGGGGGAUAACACUUAGAAAUAGGUGCUAAUACCGCAUAAGCGCACAGCUUCGCAUGAAGCGGUGUGAAAAACUCUGGUGGUAUACGAUGGUUCCGCGUCUGAUUAGCUAGUUGGUGGGGUAAUGGCCUACCAAGGCAACGAUCAGUAGCCGGCCUAAGAGGGUGAACGGCCACAUUGGGACUGAGACACGGCCCAAACUCCUACGGAAGGCAGCAG
rnacentral:rRNA from 1 species